CUGUUUUUGGUUGAGAAGAAAUAACAAUAAAAAGCUCCAUUGUGCCUUCUGCGCCCUUGUUGCUAUUUCAUACCCCUCAUGAGCCCAGUGCUACCAUUUUUGACAUAGAAAGAUAAACAAAAACUCCCUUGGGCCUUACUCACGAACUCUGCACCUUCACCGCCCUAAGGGCCCAAUCACCACCAUUUUUUUUAUGCUGAAGAAAAACUGUAACAAAAAACCUCUGUUGGGCUUGGCCUCAUGGGCCCUGCGCCUGUGUCUUCCUGCACUACUGUUUUCAGCAUUAUACCCCUGACUCAUGUUUCUUUUCACCAUUAGAAUUAGUUUUGUUUCUUAUUUUUGUUAAGUGAUAAAAUGCUAUAAUCACAAUUGUUUUGUUAGAUAUUUGCAUAAUGAAAAAUAAUAAAAACAUGUAUUCUUUUCUAGUUAGAAUUAGAUUUUUGUUUUCUAUAUUUGUUCUAAGUGAUAAAAAAUAUCUUUUCCUUGUUAGAAUUUAAAUGUUUUGCUAUAUUGCUUAGUUUUAAUUCUUUGAUAAAAUGCUAUAAAAAAUAUUAUGUUUGAUUAGAUUUCUCGCAUUGAUAAAAAGAGAUAAUAAAAAAACAUGUAAUCUUUUCCUUGUUAGGAUUUGAUGUUUAGUCACAUAGUUUUGUUCUAUUAUUGUUAGAUAAAAAUGUCACAAAAAAACAAUUUAAUCUUGUUAGAUUUUUGUUUAGGAUUUACUUAGGACUUAAUUGCUAGUAUUUUCUAUAGCGUGCUUCCUUGUUAUUACUGAUUCAGUUGUUGAGAUGUGCGAGGUACUUCGAGAGAGCCUUCGAUUGUGAUUCGACUUGCUUCGUGUUCCACUUUAUUUGUGGGACACGAAUUCGCUUCCGAUGCGACUUGACUUGUGUUGUGCUCCACUUUAUUUGUGGGACACGAACAUAUUUCCGAUCGAUUCAUCUGAUCUCUCAUUCAUUGAGAUGUAUAUUCCUGUAUUGUCUGGAUUGUGUUUCUCUUGCAGGUUGCUUAUGUGGUUGUGUCUGAUACGCACCACAUGUCGCUCGUGAUUUAUUUACACGACGUUGCCUUCUGACUUUGCUUGAUGCUAGCUUACGCGAAGUAUUCCAGACUUCUUUGCUUACGCUUGCUAGCUCAUUGCGGAUUUGCUAUCCGUUUGGUAUUGUCCCCUUGUAUCUUUUACUCUUCCGCGCACCAUAUCUUGCCAUGAGAAGUAGGGUAGGCAUGCAGCAUCAUAUUUUCCAUGAGAAGUAGGACCUAGGCAUUCAUCUGUCCAAGCCCUCGAAAGAGGCUCUGUUUUUGUUAGUGUGUUUACAUUUGUGCUUUGCGGCAGGGAGUCACGGUGUAAUAAGUCCUAUAUGGCACUCCGUUAAGUCCUCAUGGAAGGCAUGCGGAAAGGGUUAGCAAUCAACCCCCGCCCAGUCUCAUCGAGUCUGUUCAGUAUACGCACGCUACGCGUUGCUUACUUCUGAACCAGCACAAGAUCUUGUUAUCGAGUAUGUCAGGAAAAGGGUUCAUGCAAUCGGACCCCCGCAUUUCCUAUAGCUCGCGUCGCUCGACGUUGAUGUUCGGUGUACGCACGCACCGUUUUCCUUUUGGAUCCGUGAUGGCUUGGUUGCUGAGAGGGACCCGCUCCUCUUGUCUAUGGCCCGAUCAUUUUCGCGAGGUCUAAUGCUUGGUUGACUCGGGUGAUUCGCUCCCCUUGGCUAUGGCGGGACCGCUUUUCUACUACUUGGCCAGUGCCAGUAGUUUGUUUGCUUUACGAGCGGAGCUCGUUUGUGUGCCAUUGUUAUGCAUUUGUUUGAUUACUACUUCGGUAAUUUGCUUGAUUAUCGAGCGGAGCUCGAUCGUAGGCCAUAUCUUUGUGAUGCUUGUUCACUAUCUUUGUAUUUGCUAUGCCUGUUAGUAUGAUAUCUUUGUGAUGCUUGUUCAUUAUCUUCUUAUCUGCGAUGCCUGUUCGUAUGAUAUCUUUGUGAUGCUUGUUCACACACUUGCACAUGUAUGCCUGUUACAUGUUGUUUGCGAUGCCUGUUCGCGUUAUCACUUGUGAUGCCUGUUCACACACUCACAUUCGUGUAUGCCUGUUACAUGUCUGUUUUCUGUUUGCGAUGCCUGUUCGCAUGUUCUUAUUUGUGAUGCCUGUUCACAUGCCAUGUUUGCUAGGAUCUUUGUGACGCUCCUUGUUUGCAUGCUCCCUUAGGGUGCUUGGUUCCGUUUCUCUAGGAGACUUGAAUCGAGAUAGAAACAAAAACUUUUGGGCCGAACUACGGCGCUCUGAUUUCUCCACUGCACAUUGGAGGUAUAGAGGAUUAGUGCGCUUUCGGAGUAGCUUGGAAGAUGUUGAUCUUACAGUUGCUUAUGUAGAGUGGGGUUUUCUCUGAUGCGUAACGCCAGGGAACGAACGCUUAUUUUUGCAAUCCUUUUUAUUUAUGAUUUGUUUUUGGAAGUUUUGAGGGGCCUUGAACUCUCUUUGAUUAUGUUGCAGUUGUUGGUACUGUCAAUUGUUUUGAA